GAUUCUGGCUCAGGAUGAACGCUAGCUACAGGCUUAACACAUGCAAGUCGAGGGGCAUCAGGAAUCUAGCUGCUAGAUUGCUGGCGACCGGCGCACGGGUGAGUAACGCGUAUCCAACCUUCCCCUUAGUAGGGCAUAGCCCGGCGAAAGUCGGAUUAAUACCCCAUGUUAUCCGAAGAAGACAUCUGAAUUGGAUUAAAGAUUUAUCGCUAAGGGAUGGGGAUGCGUCCGAUUAGGUUGUUGGCGGGGUAACGGCCCACCAAGCCUUCGAUCGGUAGGGGUUCUGAGAGGAAGGUCCCCCACACUGGUACUGAGACACGGACCAGACUCCUACGGGAGGCAGCAGUGAGGAAUAUUGGUCAAUGGGCGCGAGCCUGAACCAGCCAAGUAGCGUGCAGGAUGACCGGCCCUAGUGGGUUAGUAAACUGUCUUUUAUGGCGGGGAAUAAAGUGCGCCACGUGUGGUGUUUUGUAGGUACCGCAUGAAUAAGGACCGGCUAAUUCCGUGCCAGCCGCGGC
rnacentral:rRNA from 1 species